CCAUAAAUAAUUAUAUAGUUCUCCUUGGGCGAUCCUGAAUCUUAAUUAGUACACUCACGUUCCAUGUGGAAAAUCGAUACUCUGGAAUACUCUCGGGUGAAGGCUACAUCGGUAUCCGUGCGCUUGCGGAUUUUUCUGUUUGCGUUUAAAAUACCCAAUACGCCUUGCCUCUGGCCCCGUUCGGCCUACGCUUCCUUCCCGUGGCUUCUGGAGUCUUCUAGAUGUAAGAUAAUUGUGCGGCACGUUAAUAUCUCUAUGUAGUCUCGACGUGUGGGCCUUUCUUCCGUAUUUCCUAAUAACCCCCUACAGAAGUAGACAAACACCAAAACUCGUGGAAUUCUGUCAGAUAAAACCCUAAGUCUAGAUGUUGAUUUCAUUUGGAUCCUUUUAUUUGUUUAUUUGAUAAUUAAAUUUGAUACUUAAGGACCGUCAACAAACUCCCCAAGCUUACCUCUUGCACGUCCCUGAGCAAGGAUAGACUCAGCAAUGGAUCAGAAGUUGUUGCAAUAUCUUAAAAAUUUGACGGUACACAUGCUUUUAAAUAAGAUCUCAUCUCUGAGUUAGAGUAAACUGUCAAGAACUAAAACUUACUUACUUUACCUUUCACCAUGGGACUUGUAAUCGUCACUUCUGUCUUGAGUAGUUAAAAGAUAGAACAGUCUAGCCAAGUGCCAUGUCUCUUAUUCUUGAUCAGCUAUAGCUCUGGAGUUUUUGCAGAUUUUCAAAUAAAACUCAGAGAUUCCUUGUAUGACUCUCUAAAUCUCUCUUUUGUGGUAUUUCUAGAUCCUUACCAAGGCAGUGAUGGUAUAUGCCUUCUCUCAAGAUAUGUGGUAUUUGUGGUAUAAGGCAUAGUGGCAUUGCCUUCUCUCUCACCUUACUCUAAUAAGGCUUUAAUAUCUGGAGCUCAUAGGUGGGAGACAGCUAAUACAUACUUACAAGACAUUUAUUGCAUAGUCAAACCAUGGAUCCACAGAAACAAGUCAAUAAGUCAAAUCAAGAUGUGCAUGUGUGGCGAAUGAAUGGUGUAUGGUGAUGAUGGUGAUAACAAUGGUGGAAGUCUAAUUCUACUUUUGCUCUUUUGAGGGGAUACAUACCUUCCUUGCUUUUUGAAACUUUAUGAGGAGAAUGAGAUGCUCUAUCUUUCAUUUUUUUUCUUUCCUCUCAGGUGGGUAUCCUGUUCCCCUAAUUCUACUGUCGGACACUUGUCUAUUUUUACCUCUCGUCUGGCUCUUUUUCUUUUCUUUCGAGGUUCCGGGCACUUGCCCCUUUUUAUUUCCUCGUAUAUUUUUUUUCUCUCCUUUUUUUAGAGCACUCAUCUCAUGAGAUAAUAUAACAAGUGGUAGUAACAAGAUAACUUGAGUAUUUAUUUCACAAGGAAAAACAGAAAUAUUUUUGGUUAUUCUCUCUCGGAUUAGGAGUAGAAUAUUUUUGGGUGGUUCUGGAGAUGGAAAUGAGUGGAUAUAUGUGGAUGGUACUUCCAGAGUAGAAGUAGCAUAUAUGAGUGAAUGUGCAAGUGAAAUCUUGAUUUAACCACAUGACAAGCUCCUAAGGGUCUACACAGCUUGACCACACUCAAUACUCAUAAGCAGUAAAUAGUAAAUAUGUGGCUCAAAGUCUAGCAAGCAUGUAUAUAUGGCUGUGGUAGGAAUUUAAACUUUCAUCAUACAGGAACUCAUCAUGCAAUAUUUUAAAGAUUUUUCAAAGAUAAAAUUCUCCAGAAUUCUAGCAUCUCUAGGAACAGAUAAACAGCAGCUCAACCUUCCCAUAUCAUAUCCGUUAACAACUUAGAUUUCAGAUCAAGUUUUUAUCCCACAAAUUUAGAUCUAGAGCAAGCUUUAAAUUAUAACAGUUAUGUCUAAACUUGAGAGAGAACUUCAAAUUUGCAAAUUAGGCAGAGCAACUAUUCAUCAUAUCCAUGCUAGAGUUUUAUUAUUAAGAUUCAGAUUAGCAUAGCCACUUUAUUUAUUUAUUAAACACACUAAGCAAAAGAUAUAUAUAUAAGCACAAAAUCUUUAUUUGGUUUUUCAUAGUUUAUGUAUUUUAAUAUUCUAAUAUAAUAUAAGUAUAAUGAUAGGUAGAAAUACUUUGCGAGAUAAAUGGGGGUGCUCUCCCCCAAGCUGAAUUUUGACGUAAUUUCUCUUGAUGUAGCUAGCAGGUGGCAGAGGUGUAUUUGAAAGUCAGCAGCAUUCUGACAGCGAUUAGAAUGUCCUCCGUCUACUAGUCUUCUUGAUUCUUAAAUUCUGUGGAGCUCAAAUAGACAACAAAGCUUGUGGAACUAAUUAAGUGUUAGCAUAAAUAUCUAGCCUUCAUCAUGUUGAGCUUCCUCAAUAAAUAUUACUCCCUGUUUUUAUAUUUUUAUUUUGUAAAGCAGAAAAGAAAUAUUUAUUUUAUUUUUAUGCCACCACAGUGAAGGUACUUAUGGGUUUUAUACCACUCGUAUACUCACAUGGGGCUUAGCAUUUUUUAACAUUUUUUUUCUUUUCAAGAUAGCAUGAUUAACUAAUAAUCUAUUUAAGGAAAGUAAAUAAUUAAAGGGAAAAGGGAAUGCAGAAAGGAUAAAUACGGAUAACUACUGAUCUUACCUUUUGGCGAUGGUUCAAUAUUUUAAGUCUUCUUAACAAGACUUCUCACCGUGUUCAUUCUUCAGGUGCGUCAUUUGAUUCAGGUGCGGACCUUGACGUCUGCACCUCUUGAUACGGUGUCACCCAUGUUCUUCGUUUGCCCAGCAGUUCGAAGUGCGGCGUUGGUAGUAACCUGCUUAGUGUUUUUGUGCUCGUAGAUCCAGGUCCUUCACUUGGUAGAGUCAGAGAGUUAUAAAACUCCUCCGUGUUUUGCUCAAAGUGUACCUGCUCAUAGAGACAAGGCAGAGAUCAAGUGCAUGGGUCCUGUUGGUGGAAAACACCAACAGAACCUAAAGUGUAUUUGUUCUUCUCUAACCCUAAGCAUAGUGAGCAAGACAAAGUUGAUGGAUGAAAAGUUCAUGAGUGUAGCACUUAUAACAUUUGUCAGAUCAGAUCGCUCAACCUUAUGGAAAGAUAAUCUAUCUAUGUAUAUGUCUUUUUCUUUAUAUCUCUCAAUGAUUGAAUGUGUAAUAUUUUAGCUCAUAUGAUUAGGAGUGUGGGAUCAUGGAGGUAGUACUAAGAACAAGGAUUAAAGGACUAAAUAUGUUGAAUCAGUUGGGUUGGUUAAUCUAGAGUUGUAAAUCAUACAUGUUUGUCUCUUUUAUUUAUAUGAACGCCAGAACUAAGGAGAAGCUUAUAAAAGUGAUAGUCAAGUACCUUAAGAUGUUACCUUGUGUCACACCCAUAUUUUAAGAACAAAAUAGGAUGCAUAAAAGACUCAUAUGUGCCCCAGAAACAGUCGCACACAUAAGUAGACAAAUCUCAAAUGUACCAUUGCGGUGUUUAUUACAUAGCGGAAUAUAAUAUAUCACAUAGUCUCAUACA
rnacentral:lncRNA from 1 species